rnacentral:rRNA from 1 species
AGUUUGAUUCUGGCUCAGGAUGAACGCUAGCUACAGGCUUAACACAUGCAAGUCGAGGGGCAGCGAGAAGAAAGCUUGCUUUCUUUGUCGGCGACCGGCGCACGGGUGAGUAACGCGUAUCCAACCUUCCCCAUAGUAGAGGAUAGCCCGGCGAAAGUCGGAUUAAUACUCUAUGUUGUAUUUUGAGGACAUCUGACGAAUACCAAAGAUUGAUCGCUAUGGGAUGGGGAUGCGUCUGAUUAGCUUGUUGGCGGGGUAACGGCCCACCAAGGCGACGAUCAGUAGGGGUUCUGAGAGGAAGGUCCCCCACAUUGGUACUGAGACACGGACCAAACUCCUACGGGAGGCAGCAGUGAGGAAUAUUGGUCAAUGGACGAGAGUCUGAACCAGCCAAGUAGCGUGCAAGGAUGACUGCCCUAUGGGUUGUAAACUGCUUUUAUGCGGGAAUAAAGUCAGGUACGCGUACCUGUUUGUAUGUACCGCAUGAAUAAGGACCGGCUAAUUCCGUGCCAGCAGCGGC